rnacentral:lncRNA from 1 species
CAAUUAUGGGCAACUUGUAAAUGAACUGUAAGUUAAGAUCAUCACUGAAAACUCACCAGGCCCAGCCCUACAUCCACUUAUGUGGUUCUGUUGGGAAGCUAAAGGACUAAGACUUCUCUCCCCACUGAGGUCUUUCAGCCUUUUUUUGCCUUUUCAUGGGAACACAUUCAGAGGACCACCCUUACUUUGGCUGGUAAGUAUCUUUUGAAUAAACCCAGUUCUGGUCACACAGCUAAUCUGUCUCUUCAUCACAUAGUAGCCAGAAGGGAAUCAGAAUAUGCAUGCUCUAAAUUGAGGGAUAGAACAUGUCGACUACAUGUCAUCGAGCGUUUCUAGAAGGAAGCAUCCUUACCUCUUUCAUAUGAGGAUGACAUCAAUUGAGCUUGCUGCACAAGCUUAUAAGAACUAGGCUAGGGGGGCAGCGAGGUGGCGCAGUGGAUAGAACACCAGCCCUGAAGUCUGGAGGACCUGAGUUCAAAUCCGGCCUCAGACCAAACACUUAAUACUUACUAGCUGUGUGACCCUGGGCAAGUCACUUAACCCCAAUUGCCUAAAAAGAAAAAAAAAAGAACUAGGCUAGGGGCAGCGAGGUGGCUCAGUGGAUAGAGUACCAGCCCUGGAGUCAGGAGGACCUGAUAGACAUGAUGAGAUCUAGAGGUUUAGGGGUGCUGGGACCCUAAGAUCGCGACUGGGCCCUGCUUGAAUGAAUUCAACCCAAAUCUUCUUUCAGCCAGAGGAAAGGUUUAUUAGAGAUAAAUCAUAUAGGCCAGACUCUUAAGGAGUCUGAACAUUAGUAACACCUGUAGGGACCAGCAGGCAAGAGAAAGUCACAGCCUUGUGGGCAUGAGAGUCUCAGCGUUUGAAUGGGGGCCAGAAUGGAUCUUAUAUACACUAAAGUAACUUUGGUGGCCACAGGAGGGGGCUAGGAAAAGGGUUUGGUGAGAAUUCUGAUUGGAAGGUCUGAGAGAUUGAAUAGACAAUGGGGACAGCUAAUGGAGGGAACUAGAACGAAGAAGUUUGAAAGGCAUCUGCACAAAAUUAAAGGGUGGGGCUAGGGCUCUAAAAGGGAGAUAAGGGCAGUCCAUAAAGAACCUGAAAGUUUAAGGAUUUUCUGGGGCCUGUAGACAAACGGGAGCCAGAUUCUUUUUAGGGCAAGGGUCGAAAGUGUGUCUAAAUAAGAUCAAAAGGUAGGGCUAAGGCUUUCCCAG